UACGAAGGGGGCUAGCGUUGUUCGGAAUUACUGGGCGUAAAGCGCACGUAGGCGGACAUUUAAGUCAGGGGUGAAAUCCCGGGGCUCAACCCCGGAACUGCCUUUGAUACUGGGUGUCUAGAGUGUGGAAGAGGUGAGUGGAAUUCCGAGUGUAGAGGUGAAAUUCGUAGAUAUUCGGAGGAACACCAGUGGCGAAGGCGGCUCACUGGUCCACUACUGACGCUGAGGUGCGAAAGCGUGGGGAGCAAACAGG
rnacentral:rRNA from 1 species